UAAGGUCUUGUAAGCUGUCUCUGGCUUUUUCUUGGGCUGUGUGGAGGAAUCCACUCUGUAUGGAGAAUGAAGCUGACGGGCAGAGAGAAAUAGAGAUCCAAGAACCUUCUUGUAGGGUCUGGAUUGGGACCCUUUUCUGGUAACAUCUUCCUGGUGACCAUGAAGGGACAAUACUGAAGAGACCCCUGACCCUAAGGAAAUAGACUGCAGCACCAAUGGGCCAACUUUGGUGAUCUCUGGCUGCUGCUCAGAAGAAACAAGAGGGAGGGAUGAAUAAUGUAAAACUCUGGAUCAAUAUUCUAAUUCUGAGCCUCUAUUGGAAUCAGCUAGCAACCACAUAUCAGCUUGGUUUCAACAGUUUCCCAGUUCAUGCUGCUGAGAAGUUCAGAGUCAAACCUGAAUCUCACCUCUGCAAAGAGCACAGGACUCCAUGGCAAACGUUGUAUAUACGCAAGUCAUCCCUGGCACCACAUUGAUUUACUGCACCAGGCUUUCUUCAUUGUGAUGAUGUUCUCUCUCUUUUCUAAAAAAAAAAUAAAAAUAAAAUUUAAAAAAUCC
rnacentral:lncRNA from 1 species